rnacentral:rRNA from 1 species
AUGACUACCCAGAUCAACAGAAUGGCGAGAAGCAACGUGCAAGCCAAUAAACAUGAUGUGUUUUCAAGAGGCAGUAGUUUUCCUUCAUGCCAACAAUAUUUUCAGUUCUGCAGGUGUAGGGGGGAGGCAAGAACAGGGGGACAAGAUUCAUGUCAGGUUCUGCAACAACAAUUCAGUACAGGGGCAAAUUUUGCAAGCAGUAGAUCAAGGGGUAGGUACAUAAAGGGAAAUACACUAGUUCUAGAACAACCAAGGAUGUUGGCAGAUUUAAUGGUAUGUUUUGCCUUGAUUACCUUUGUUGUCGUCUUCCCUGGGAGUUUUUUUGCCCAGCUUUGGCAAUUUCAUUGCCCACAAUUUCUCCAAAUUAUUGCCUGA